UGAAAACCUUAUAAUAUUCUCUUAUUUUAAAAAACUUCGUACCGUUAAGUGCGUGUUAAAGAAAACUUGAAAAUGAUUACAUCAAAGCCAAGUUACAAAAAAUGGAUUUGUUUUAAAACAAAGAAAAGUUAAUUUACCAAUCGGAUGCCAACGUAAUAAAUGGAUUAAAAAUACGGAAAACACGUGGCCUGAAAAAGAGAGCACCGGCCGGCAUUGCCAUCCAUAGCUUUGCAUACCGAGUAGCCGCCAUUUUGAUGGAACUAUCUGGAAAAAUGUGAUUAAGUUUCAGAAUUUUUGUUGUGGAACUCGUUACAUUCCUUUGAUUAAAACUUUUUAAUAUGGGGAAUUCCCCUUGGCGAAGAGAAUACAAAAUGAUUGAGUUUCGUCCAUCAUAAAAAGCUUCUACAAGAAUUACUGAGAAUAAUUACAAGGUGGACCUUAAAAGCCAAGAAAGGAUAAUCUGCCGUUUCCAACUUUGGAUCUUAUUCCUGUGAUUAUCAAUUAUAUAAGAUUGAAUCGCAGUUGACGCUAUUUCCUAAAAACUUGGCCAGUUGUUUAACUAUAUGAAAUUCCGGAAAUCUUUAGAUGUGAAAAUGUCAUUUCUUCCUAUAAGAAAGGUUAUUAUAGUCUUGAAAACCUGAUUGUUGGAUGGAACCACCCCUUUCACUUCUUAUACAAAAGAUCGGUUUAUAAACUGAAUAAAACCAGUAAUGCACAUUCUUUUAAGACGUCUUUCAUACUGACUUGAAAAGGUUGUCUCAGGAAAUAUUUCUUAAAAAUAAGUGUCUUUAAAAUAAAGGAAAA